CUACGGGACGCUCCAGUGAGGAAUAUUGCACAAUGGGGGGAACCCUGAUGCAGCAACGCCGCGUGGAGGAUGACGCAUUUCGGUGUGUAAACUCCUUUUAUAUGUCAAGAAAAUGACGGUAGCAUAUGAAUAAGCACCGGCUAACUCCGUGCCAGCAGCCGCGGUAAUACGGAGGGUGCAAGCGUUACUCGGAAUCACUGGGCGUAAAGGACGCGUAGGCGGGUUAGAAAGUCAGGUGUGAAAUCCUACAGCUUAACUGUAGAACUGCACUUGAAACUUCUAAUCUAGAGUAUGGGAGGGGGAGACGGAAUUAGUGGUGUAGGGGUAAAAUCCGUAGAUAUCACUAGGAAUACCUAAAGCGAAGGCGAUCUCCUGGAACAUUACUGACGCUAAGGCGUGAAAGCGUGGGGAGCAAACAGGAUUAGAUACCCGCGUAGUC
rnacentral:rRNA from 1 species